AUGCCACUUCAGGGCCGUGAGCAGGGAGGGAGGGACCCCGGGGGGACAGCCAGGGACCUGCCCUCACAGAGACAGAGGCUGGUGUGGACAGCGAGCCAAGUGGCUGCACCCGGAGGGGUCGGGGAGGGGCCUGGCGGAGUGAGGAGCCAUGCCCACGAACCGGAGGGCUUCCCGGAGGACAGACAGCUGCGCGGAGAUCCUGGAGGCCCGUCUCCCGGGCCACGCCGGUUCUCCCCACGGCGUCUCCCAGUAUGUGUGGAGGAGGCAGCAAGGAGACGUCUGUGUCGCCCGCCCGCACGGGUGGCGCCACCAGCCUGCCCACAAGCCAUCUGCCUCUUUCCUCUCCCGGACAGGAAAGGGCUGACUGCAGGAGUCUGUGAAUCAAGGCCAGGCACUCGGCCGGCGGGUGCUCCGUCAACGCUCUGAGAGAAGGAGCAUGCUCGGGUGCCUGGGCACCGACUAGGGAGGUAAGUGAAGUCCUUGGAGAGCUGUGUGGUGGCUCUCGGGUCCUCUCACCUGGGUCCCCAGCCCUCCCAUGGUCCUCACGGGAGACUGCUUGAUGGAAGACAUUCCAGGCCCACCUGGGUGGCACCAGUCUUGGGCAGUGCAGAGGGCCAGUCACCCACCUGCUGCCUGAAGUGUCACCCCUCUGGCUUCUUUCUUUUGGCUUCUUUCCUACAAUUUAAUUUAAUAGACUUGUGUGUGUGUGUGUGUGUGUGUGUGUGUGUGUGUGUUAAGCAGUCUUGAGUUCACAGAAACAUGAAGGCACAUUUAUAGACGGUUGUAUGGCGACAUGCACCUGUCACGACACAUCACAGGGAUGGCUUCUCUGUCCUAAACACCCUUGGUGCUCCAUCUAUCUACCCCUGGAAACUCCUAAUCCUUUCACUGUCUCCAAAAUGUGGCCUUUCCCAGAAUGCUGUAGAGCCACCAACACACAUGCUUGGCCUUCCCAUGCUGGUGUCUCAACAAUACACUCGUGAGUUUCCCCCAUGUCUUUUCGCGGACUAAUCGCUCGUUUCUUUUUAGCGCUGAGUACUAUUCCACUCUCUGGAUGGACCACGCUGUAUUUAUUCACUCACCUUCUCAGGGACAUCUUGGCCACAUCCAAAUUUGGGAAAUUGUAAGCAAAACUACCAUCAAAUUCCACGAAUGGGUUUUUUGGCAGAUAUGAAUUUUCAACUAAUUUGGGUGAGUGCCAAGGCGAAUGGUAUGGGAAUAACACUGUCCAAUUUUGUGAGAAAUUG
rnacentral:lncRNA from 12 species